rnacentral:rRNA from 1 species
GACAGAGGGUGCAAACGUUGUUCGGAUUUACUGGGCGUAAAGCGCGUGUAGGCGGCUUUGCAAGUUAGAGGUGAAAGCCCGGGGCUCAACUCCGGAAUUGCCUUUAAAACUGCAUCGCUAGAAUUGUGGAGAGGUAAGUGGAAUUCCGAGUGUAGAGGUGAAAUUCGUAGAUAUUCGGAAGAACACCAGUGGCGAAGGCGACUUACUGGACACAUAUUGACGCUGAGGUGCGAAAGCGUGGGGAGCAAACAGG